rnacentral:rRNA from 1 species
CACGUAGGGUGCGAGCGUUGUCCGGAAUUAUUGGGCGUAAAGAGCUCGUAGGCGGUGUGUCGCGUCGGCCGUGAAAACCUGCAGCUUAACUGUGGGCGUGCGGUCGAUACGGGCAGGCUGGAGUUCGGUAGGGGAGACUGGAAUUCCUGGUGGUAGCGGUGAAAUGCGCAGAUAUCAGGAGGAACACCGGUGGCGAAGGCGGGUCUCUGGGCCGAUACUGACGCUGAGGAGCGAAAGCGUGGGGAGCAAACAGG